AGUCGAGGGGUAACAGGGAGCUUGCUCCGCUGACGACCGGCGCACGGGUGCGUAACGCGUAUGCAAUCUACCUUUUACAGGGGAAUAGCCCAGAGAAAUUUGGAUUAAUGCCUCAUAGUAUAUUAGAGUGGCAUCACUUUAAUAUUAAAGAUUUAUCGGUAAAAGAUGAGCAUGCGUUCUAUUAGUUAGUUGGUAAGGUAACGGCUUACCAAGACUACGAUAGAUAGGGGCCCUGAGAGGGGGAUCCCCCACACUGGUACUGAGACACGGACCAGACUCCUACGGGAGGCAGCAGUGAGGAAUAUUGGACAAUGGGCGAGAGCCUGAUCCAGCCAUGCCGCGUGCAGGAAGACUGCCCUAUGGGUUGUAAACUGCUUUUAUACAGGAAGAAACACUGCUACGUGUAGCAGCUUGACGGUACUGUAAGAAUAAGGAUCGGCUAACUCCGUGCCAGCAGCCGCGGUAAUACGGAGGAUCCAAGCGUUAUCCGGAAUCAUUGGGUUUAAAGGGUCCGUAGGUGGAUGAUUAAGUCAGAGGUGAAAUCUUGCAGCUCAACUGUAAAAUUGCCUUUGAUACUGGUUAUCUUGAGUUAUUAUGAAGUAGUUAGAAUAUGUAGUGUAGCGGUGAAAUGCAUAGAUAUUACAUAGAAUACCAAUUGCGAAGGCAGAUUACUAAUAAUAUACUGACACUGAUGGACGAAAGCGUGGGUAGCGAACAGGAUUAGAUACCCUGGUAGUCCACGCCGUAAACGAUGGUUACUAGCUGUUCGGACUUCGGUCUGAGUGGCUAAGCGAAAGUGAUAAGUAACCCACCUGGGGGAGUACGUUCGCAAGAAUGAAACU
rnacentral:rRNA from 1 species